rnacentral:tmRNA from 3 species
CCCCUUGCUAAAAAUAUGUACACGCCUUAUCUUAACUCUUGCCGGGGUUCGCUCCGGCUAUGGCGAUAAACGAUAGAUGGAAUAGGUGUAGUGGACCCGGGGGCAGUGCCCGGCGUCUCCACCAAGACCCUCCUUAGGAGGGCUAUGGGGACGAAACAGGCUCGACACGCACAGUAAAGAUCUAUUUUUUGCCCGGCAUGGUACCGCCGUCAUCGGGCUAAAUUUUACAAGUGCCAACGAUAACUCAGAGGUGCUCGCUGUUGCUGCAUAAGCGAUAAGCGCGGUUCGGGAGGCACCGGGCAACAGAAGCCUCCCACU